rnacentral:rRNA from 1 species
UGAGGAAUAUUGGUCAAUGGCCGGGAGGCUGAACCAGCCAAGCCGCGUGAGGGAAGAAGGCGCAGAGCGUCGUAAACCUCUUUUGUCAGGGGACAAAACCGGUCACGUGUGGCCGGCUGAGGGUACCUGAAGAAAAAGCAUCGGCUAACUCCGUGCCAGCAGCCGCGGUAAUACGGAGGAUGCGAGCGUUAUCCGGAUUUAUUGGGUUUAAAGGGUGCGCAGGCGGUUCUUUAAGUCAGCGGUAAAAGCCCGGGGCUCAACCCCGGCGAGCCGUUGAAACUGGGGGACUCGAGAGAGAGAGAGGUAUGCGGAAUGCGCGGUGUAGCGGUGAAAUGCAUAGAUAUCGCGCAGAACUCCGAUUGCGAAGGCAGCAUACCGGUUCUUAUCUGACGCUGAGGCACGAAAGCGUGGGGAUCGAACAGG